rnacentral:rRNA from 1 species
UUGGAGGGCAAGUCUGGUGCCAGCAGCCGCGGUAAUUCCAGCUCCAAUAGCGUAUAUUAAAGUUGUUGCAGUUAAAAAGCUCGUAGUUGAAUUUCGGGAUCAGAUUGUCGGUCGUGCCUCGGUACGCACUGGUAUUAUUGGUUCCUACCUUCUGAAGAACCGCGAUGUCAUUAAUUUGGUGUCGUGGGGAAUCAGGACUGUUACUUUGAAAAAAUUAGAGUGUUUAAAGCAGGUUUACGCUUGAAUACAUUAGCAUGGAAUAAUGAAAUAGGACGUUUGAUUCUAUUUUGUUGGUUUCUAGGAUUGACGUAAUGAUUAAUAGGGAUAGUUGGGGGCAUUAGUAUUCAAUUGUCAGAGGUGAAAUUCUUGGAUUUAUUGAAGACUAACUACUGCGAAAGCAUUUGCCAAGGAUGUUUUCAUUAAUCAAGAACGAAAGUUAGGGGAUCGAAGACGAUCAGAUACCGUCGUAGUCUUAACCAUAAACUAUGCCGACUAGGGAUCGGAUGAUGUUAAUUUUUUAAUGACUCAUUCGGCGCCUUACGGGAAAC